rnacentral:rRNA from 1 species
UACGUAGGGGGCAAGCGUUAUCCGGAAUUACUGGGUGUAAAGGGAGCGUAGACGGUAAUGUAAGUCUGGAGUGAAAGGCGGGGGCCCAACCCCGGGACUGCUCUGGAAACUAUGUUACUAGAGUGCAGGAGAGGUAAGCGGAAUUCCUAGUGUAGCGGUGAAAUGCGUAGAUAUUAGGAGGAACACCAGUGGCGAAAGCGGCUCUCUGGUCUGUAACUGACGCUGAGGUUCGAAAGCGUGGGUAGCAAACAGG